rnacentral:snoRNA from 1 species
ACGACCUUACUUGAACAGGAUCUGUUCUAUAGGCUCGUACCUCUGUAUCCUUGAGUUCUAAGGAGACAGGAACUGAAGUCUGGUGGAUGAACGUGACCCUGUGAUCAGAGCGUGAUUAACGGUCAGGUGUGCCUUCUCCCUGGAUUAGAUACAUCUUAGCUGUAGAGGAUCGUUCCCAGUCUUCAUGAUUUGAGAUGGUCACAGGGUUGUCUGACAGACU